rnacentral:rRNA from 1 species
AUUGAACGCUGGCGGCAGGCCUAACACAUGCAAGUCGAACGAGUGGCGGACGGGUGAGUAAUGUCUGGGAAACUGCCCGAUGGAGGGGGAUAACUACUGGAAACGGUAGCUAAUACCGCAUACCAUCGGAUGUGCCCAGAUGGGAUUAGCUUGUAGGUGAGGUAACGGCUCACCUAGGCGACGAUCCAUAGCUGGUCUGCUAGAAUGAACAGCCACACUGGAACGUAGACACGGUCCAGACUCCUACGUGAGGCAGCAGUGGGGAAUAUUGCACAAUGGGAGCAAGCCUGAUGCAGCCAGGCCGCGGGUAUGAAGAAGGGCUUCGGGUUGGAAAGUACUUUCAGCGGGGAGGCGUUACCCGCAGAAGAAGCACCGGCUAACUCCGUGCCAGCAGCCGCGGUAAUAC